GGAAGACUGGAGGAAUGAAAUGGAUUGACAGACCAACUAACUAAUGAGAGGCUUGAUUGAGAACCUACCCGACUAUCAGAGGACCUGUCCGGGAAGGGAAAUGGGGCUACGUCCAGACAGAAUCUCACUCUGUUGCCUGGGCUGGAGUGCAGUGGCGCUGUGUCCGGAAUUGGUGGGUUCUUGGUCUCCCUGACUUCAAGAACGAAGCUGCAGACCCUUGUGGUGAGUGUUACAGCCCUUAAGGUGGCGCGUCUGGAGUUUGUUACUUCUGAUGUUCGGAGAUGGGGUUUCACCAUGUUGGUCAGGCUGGUCUCGAACUCCUGACCUCAAGUGAUCUGUCUGUCUCGGCCUCACAAAUGGCUGGGAUUACAGGCACGAGACACCGUGCCUGGCCCUGGGAACAUGUUUACAUGGACUUUGUUCACUUUUUAAAACAAACUGAGGGUGACUUACUAGAUCUGUGAACUAAACAAAAAGAAAAAAAAGAAAGAAAGAAAACAAACAAGAACAA
rnacentral:antisense_RNA from 1 species